AUGGGGUACUAUAAACCCACAACACAGUGCUGUGUCAUUAUUAGACCAGGUGAUGGGAUAGAGAGAUGGAGGGGAGGUGGGGGUAAAAUGGGGUACUAUAAACCCACAACACAGUGCUGUGUAAUUAUUAGACCAGGUGAUGGGAUAGAGAGAUGGAGGGGAGGUGGGGGUAAAAUGGGGUACUAUAAACCCACAACACAGUGCUGUGUCAUUAUUAGACCAGGUGAUGGGAUAGAGAGAGAUGGAGGGGAGGUGGGGGUACUAUAAACCCACAACACAGUGCUGUGUCAUUAUUGGACCAGGUGAUGGGAAAGAGAGAGAUGGAGGGGAGUAGUUGUGUGUGAAUGAUGCGUAGUCGGCAGCAUGCUAAACAGCGAGGACGUUGAUGUGUGGAUUAGAUCAUGAUGGUUGUGAUUGUCAUCGUUUAUCACUCAAAGCCAAAGGUUCAGAUGUUCCCGGGGUUUUCCAUCUGUGUGUGCAGUCAGAUUUUUACAGAGAAUAACUUAUUAUGGUUAGAGGACAGAGAGACUGCUUCCCAAACAAACCCCUAUUCCCAAUAGAGGGCCCUAUACGCCUCUGGUCUACAGUAGUGCACUAUAUAGGGAAUAGGGUGCCAUAGGGCCCUGUUCAAAGUAGUGCACUAUAUAGGGAAUAGGGUGCCAUAGGGCCCUGUUCAAAGUAGUGCACUAUAUAGGGAAUAGGGUGCCAUAGGGCCCUGUUCAAAGGAGUGCACUAUGUAGGGAAUAGGGUGCCAUAGGGCCCUGUUCAAAGUAGUGCACUAUAUAGGGAAUAGGGUGCCAUAGGGCCCUGUUCAAAGUAGUGCACUAUAUAGGGAAUAUGGUGCCAUAGGGCCCUGUUCAAAGUAGUGCACUAUGUAGUGAAUAGGGUGCCAUAGGGCCCUGUUCAAAGGAGUGCACUAUGUAGGAAAUAGGGUGCCAUUUUGGAGGCAUGUAGUCUUUUUCUCCAUGGAGGGUUUACUGUUGAAACCAUCAUCUAGUCCCUUUAGUCAAAACCCUUUAUAUAGAUAUAGGUUAUCCCAUAGUAAUAAUAAUGAUACUGGGACAGAUGUUGUUUUUAUAGAAAUUACAGUAUAUCCAUUGAUAUAGUUGCUGAAUUUUAUAUUAUGGGAGAGAAUUUAAAAAAAUAUAAAAAAUGUCUAUUUUACCUUUUGUGUUUCGUUUUUUUUUUCUGUCCAGAAAUUAUACGACUAUGAUUAUUUGUACCCGAUGAAAAAUGAAAACUGAACAAACAAAAAAAAAAUAUAUAUAUAUAUAUAUAUAUAUACCAACAAUGUAUUAAUGGAGACGUUUGAGCUGUGCAACGAAGGUGUUCUCUGAAAACACAAAAUACACGACUGUAAUGUUUUAGUUGUAGGCUACAACACCAAGGGUUUGGGGAAAAAGCUUUUCUCGUGUUCUCUAUGGAGUCGUCCUAUCCAGAUGGAUCAUGACACUCUACAAGUAAUGCAAUCAUAAUGUACAUACUGUCAUGGCAUUUUUUUUGGGGGGGGGGGGGUCAGCUGUACUAUUUUGCCGACACACACACAGCCUGUACACGGUCUUCACUACUACACGGCUGUGAAACAUGUCAGUGUCCUAUACGCUGUUGAUGUUUGUUAGUUAGGCUUUUUGUUUUUGUUUACAUUGACUUGUCUUUCAUUUGGGUUUUGAUAUCAUUUGUAAUGUGACCUCCUUUGUAAUGUUAUUUUCUAGAACUCAGCCUUUACACUUUGAAAAAAAAACUGUUUGAUUAAUUAGAAAUAUAUAUGACUUGUGAGAAAAAAAAAGAUGAGGUUUAUGUAAAUAUGAAACAUGAAGCUGUUGUUGAUUUACAGUGCUCCAGGGGCUGAGAGAGGAAACGCCCAGCUCUCCUCACGCAGCUAAACACUUCCUUACACCCCUCUUUUCUUCCUGAUAUCCCCCCUCCCUCCCUCCUUUCCUCCCUCCUUUCCUCCCCCCUCCCUCCCUCCCUCCUUUCCUCCCUCCUUCCCCCCCCCCCCUCCUUUCCUCCUUCCUUUCCUCCCCCCUCCCUCCCUCCUUUCCUCCCCCCUCCCUCCCUCCUUUCCUCCCCCCUCCCUCCCUCCUUUCCUCCCUCCUUUCUUCCUACACCUUGUUUACAAAUGAACCUGAUCAGAGGUGUUUGUUACAUAUCUCAGUUUUGUAUUUAUGAGAAGAAGAAAAAAUAUUCAGAAAUGCAACCCAUGAAAAAGGCAGUGGCAGCUGCAGGUUGUGGGAUUUAGCCCCAUCCUGCAGGUUCUGGGGUUAAGUCCCAUCCUGUAGGCAGGUUGUGGGGUUUAGCCCCAUCCUGCAGAUUCUGGGGGUUAAGUCUCAUCCAGUCUGCAGGUUGUGGGGUUUAGCCCCAUCCUGCAUAUCCUGGGGGUUAAGUCUCAUCCAGUCUGCAGGUUGUGGGGUUUAGCACCAUCCUGCAGAUUCUAGGGGUUAAGUCCCUGGCCUGUGUUUGCUGAACCAUCAGUGGGCAUGGCAACACGUAUCCUGAAUACACCACCGCGUGUCUCUGUCCCUACCCUCUACAUCCUCUGCUUCCAUAGGUGUUGUGAUGAGAUACCCCCUCCCCUGUCCUUGUAUGUGCAUGCACUAUGGUUCUUCCACUUAACAAUAACAAUCAAUAAAGUUUGUCAAGAUAAGCAGACUGUCUGGGCUCUACUAUAUUAUCACUCUCUUUU
ensembl:lncRNA